GACGAACGCUGGCGGCGUGCUUAACACAUGCAAGUCGAACGGUAAGGCCCCAGCUUGCUGGGGUACACGAGUGGCGAACGGGUGAGUAACACGUGGGUGACCUGCCCCGCACUUCGGGAUAAGCCUGGGAAACUGGGUCUAAUACCGGAUAGGACCGCACCGUGAGGGUGUGGUGGAAAGUUUUUCGGUGUGGGAUGGGCCCGCGGCCUAUCAGCUUGUUGGUGGGGUAAUGGCCUACCAAGGCGGCGACGGGUAGCCGGCCUGCGAGGGUGGACGGCCACAUUGGGACUGAGACACGGCCCAGACUCCUACGGGAGGCAGCAGUGGGGAAUAUUGCACAAUGGGCGGAAGCCUGAUGCAGCGACGCCGCGUGGGGGAUGACGGCCUUCGGGUUGUAAACUCCUUUCACCAUCGACGAAGGUUUUCUGACGGUAGAUGGAGAAGAAGCACCGGCUAACUACGUG
rnacentral:rRNA from 1 species